GGUGAGUAAUAUAUCGGAACGUACCAUUCAGUGGGGGAUAACGUAGCGAAAGUUACGCUAAUACCGCAUAUUCUGUGAGCAGGAAAGCAGGGGAUCGCAAGACCUUGCGCUGAUUGAGCGGCCGAUAUCAGAUUAGCUUGUUGGUGAGGUAAAAGCUCACCAAGGCGACGAUCUGUAGCGGGUCUGAGAGGAUGAUCCGCCACACUGGAACUGAGACACGGUCCAGACUCCUACGGGAGGCAGCAGUGGGGAUUUUGGACAAUGGGGGCAACCCUGAUCCAGCCAUGCCGCGUGAGUGAAGAAGGCCUUCGGGUUGUAAAGCUCUUUCAGCCGGGAGGAAAACGCAUGGGUUAAUACCCUGUGUGGAUGACGGUACCGGAAUAAGAAGCACCGGCUAACUACGUGCCAGCAGCCGCGGUAAUACGUAGGGUGCGAGCGUUAAUCGGAAUUACUGGGCGUAAAGCGUGCGCAGGCGGUUUUGUAAGACAGGCGUGAAAUCCCCGGGCUUAACCUGGGAACUGCGUUUGUGACUGCAAGGCUAGAGUACGGCAGAGGGGGGUGGAAUUCCACGUGUAGCAGUGAAAUGCGUAGAGAUGUGGAGGAACACCAAUGGCGAAGGCAGCCCCCUGGGUCGAUACUGGCGCUCAUGCACGAAAGCGUGGGUAGCAAACAGGAUUAGAUACCCUGGUAGUCCACGCCCUAAACGAUGUCAACUAGGUGUUGGGAGGGUAAAACCUUUUAGUACCGGAGCUAACGCGUGAAGUUGACCGCCUGGGGAGUACGGCCGCAAGGUUAAAACUCAAAGGAAUUGACGGGGACCCGCACAAGCGGUGGAUGAUGUGGAUUAAUUCGAUGCAACGCGAAAAACCUUACCUACCCUUGACAUGCCAAGAACUUUCCAGAGAUGGAUUGGUGCCCGAAAGGGAACUUGGACACAGGUGCUGCAUGGCUGUCGUCAGCUCGUGUCGUGAGAUGUUGGGUUAAGUCCCGCAACGAGCGCAACCCUUGUCGUUAAUUGCCAUCAUUUAGUUGGGCACUUUAACGAGACUGCCGGUGACAAACCGGAGGAAGGUGGGGAUGACGUCAAGUCCUCAUGGCCCUUAUGGGUAGGGCUUCACACGUCAUACAAUGGUCGGUACAAAGGGUCGCCAAGCCGCGAGGUGGAGCCAAUCCCAGAAAGCCGAUCGUAGUCCGGAUCGCAGUCUGCAACUCGACUGCGUGAAGUCGGAAUCGCUAGUAAUCGUGGAUCAGAAUGUCACGGUGAAUACGUUCCCGGGUCUUGUACACACCGCCCGUCACACCAUGGGAGCGGGUUCCGCCAGAAGUAGGUAGCCUAACCGCAAGGAGGGCGCUUACCACGGCGGGGUUCGUGACUGGGGUGAAGUCGGAACAAGGUA
rnacentral:rRNA from 1 species